AUCGCGAAUCUCCCUCCCUCCGCCCCUGCCCAUAAUGAAGAUAAGAGAGAAGCGGCUGAGAGUUCGCAGGGGCUCUUUUUUAAAAAAUAAAAUAGAUUGCGCGGGUCUCGCUUCCAUUCCCUAGGGUGCCCCUCCCUUCCAAAAGCAGAUUUUUGGCCGCCGCUACGAUCCUGGCAAGCCGCACGCCCCUCCCCCUCCGUCUGCGCCAGAAGGGAGACCCAUUGAGUUCAAUGAGAGCCUAAGGAACAGAUUUGGCCUCAUCUUUACCCUCUUGUGUGUGUGUGUUUUACUGGCAACUUUGACAUUUUUGUGGUGCUGACACAACAGCUAAGGAACCAGAUGCCUUUACAAUAAUAAACAGGUGUUACGCUCA